CAGAGUCGUUUCGAAUAGGACAAAUAUACACCAAUCCUUUGAAGGAUGAGGUUCCGGCUCAGCUCCUACUUCACGACUCUCUUUCCAGAAACCCUUUCUCUCCCUCGUUUCUCCUUCAAAGUUCUCAGUUCAGCUCCUACAACAUCCAUACGUGGUGCUGGAAUUCUAGUACAGUGUACACUGAUUUAAGUGAGAUUGUGUUGAAGUGGAAGAAUCUACCUUGGGUUGGGUUGAACCUAUAGAGAACUAAGAGUAAUUUUGGGUUGAAGUGGAAGUUGGGGAUUUCCGACUCUCCUGGAGCUCAACUGUGGUGUUUGGUUUUACGGUUGUGUAGACACCAGGCACCAGAGGCCCGACUGAGCCACAGGAGGGACCUUCAA